GUAGCAGCGGGCGGCAGCCGCCGAGGCAGCAAUGUCAGGAGGGCACAGCUGGAGGAGGCGGCCGCCAAAGCCACUACCCCGCCCCCAGGAAGAUUUGGAAAAGAGGCACUGGCUACUGGAGGAAGGGAGAAAUCACCAAGAGAGCGAAAGAUGUAACAGAAACAGACUCUUGUUCUGUCACCCAUACUUGGAGUGUAGUGGUACAAUGAUAGCUCACUGCAGCCUCAAACUCCUGGGCUCAAGCAUUCCUCCCACCUCAGCCUCCCAGAUGCAGUGACUCAUGCCUAUAAUCCCAGUACUUUGGAAGGUCAAGGCGGAAGGAUCCGUUGAGGCCAGGAGUCCAAGACCAGCCUGCACAACGUAGCAAGACUCCUUCUCUACAAAAAUAAAAAUAAAAAUUAGCCAGGCAUGGUGGUGCACUCCUGUAGUCCCAGCUACUCAGAGGCUGAUGCAGAGGAUCACAUUAUCCCGGAGGUCAAGGCUGCAGUGAGCCGUGAUCAUGCCUCUGCACUCCAGCCCGGGUGAUAGAGCAAG
rnacentral:lncRNA from 1 species